GUUAGGAAUAUUGGACAAUGGACGCAAGUCUGAUCCAGCCAUGCCGCGUGAGUGAUGAAGGCCUUCGGGUUGUAAAGCUCUUUAGCCGAUGAUUAUAAUGACUGUAGUCGGAAAAUAAGCCCCGGCUAACUUCGUGCCAGCAGCCGCGGUAAUACGAAGGGGGCGAGCGUUAUUCGGAAUCACUGGGCGUAAAGCGUGCGUAGGCGGUUUUGUAAGUUGGGAGUGAAAGCCCAGGGCUCAACACUGGAAUUGCUCUCAAAACUACAAGACUUGAAUUCGGGAGAGGAUAGCGGAAUUGUCAGUGUAGCAGUGAAAUGCGUAGAUAUUGACAGGAACACCAGUGGCGUAAGCGGCUAUCUGGACCGACAUUGACGCUGAGGCACGAAAGCGUGGGGAUCAAACAGGAUUAGAAACCCUAGUAGUCC
rnacentral:rRNA from 1 species